UACGUAGGGUGCAAGCGUUAAUCGGAAUUACUGGGCGUAAAGCGUGCGCAGGCGGUUCUGUAAGUCUGUCGUGAAAUCCCCGGGCUUAACCUGGGAAUUGCGAUGGAGACUGCAAGGCUAGAAUCUGGCAGAGGGGGGGUAGAAUUCCACGUGUAGCAGUGAAAUGCGUAGAGAUGUGGAGGAACACCGAUGGCGAAGGCAGCCCCCUGGGUCAAGAUUGACGCUCAUGCACGAAAGCGUGGGGAGCAAACAGG
rnacentral:rRNA from 1 species